ACGCACGCUGGCGGCGUGCUUAACACAUGCAAGUCGAACGGAAAGGCCCUGCUUUUGUGGGGUGCUCGAGUGGCGAACGGGUGAGUAACACGUGAGUAACCUGCCCUUGACUUUGGGAUAACUUCAGGAAACUGGGGCUAAUACCGGAUAGGAGCUCCUGCUGCAUGGUGGGGGUUGGAAAGUUUCGGCGGUUGGGGAUGGACUCGCGGCUUAUCAGCUUGUUGGUGGGGUAGUGGCUUACCAAGGCUUUGACGGGUAGCCGGCCUGAGAGGGUGACCGGCCACAUUGGGACUGAGAUACGGCCCAGACUCCUACGGGAGGCAGCAGUGGGGAAUAUUGCACAAUGGGCGGGAGCCUGAUGCAGCAACGCCGCGUGCGGGAUGACGGCCUUCGGGUUGUAAACCGCUUUCGCCUGUGACGAAGCGUGAGUGACGGUAAUGGGUAAAGAAGCACCGGCUAACUACGUG
rnacentral:rRNA from 1 species